GGAGUUAGCCGGUGCUUCUUCUGUGAGUGAUGUCCUUCCUGCCGGCUAUUAACCCGCAGGCCUUCUUCCUCACUGAAAGUGCUUUACAACCCGAAGGCCUUCUUCACACACGCGGCAUGGCUGGAUCAGGGUUGCCCCCAUUGUCCAAUAUUCCCCACUGCUGCCUCCCGUAGGAGUCUGGGCCGUGUCUCAGUCCCAGUGUGGCUGAUCAUCCUCUCAGACCAGCUACGGAUCGUCGCCUUGGUGAGCCGUUACCUCACCAACCAGCUAAUCCGACAUAGGCUCAUCCGAUAGCGCGAGGCCCGAAGGUCCCCCGCUUUCCCCCGUAGGGCGUAUGCGGUAUUAGCCUGGGUUUCCCAAGGUUAUCCCCCACUACCGGGCAGAUUCCUAUGCAUUACUCACCCGUCCGCCGCUCGCCACCAGGGAGCAAGCUCCCCGUGCUGCCGCUCGACUUGCAUGUGUUAGGCCUGCCGCCAGCGUUCAAUCUGAGCCAGAAUCGAACCCUGA
rnacentral:rRNA from 1 species